AUUAUCGUAGUAUUGUUAAAAUUAAUCAAUUAUUACGUAUAAUUUUAAUAAGUUAUUCUGGAAAGCAAUAAUCGCGCGUAAACGCAACCGAGCGCUAGGAGUAGUGGUGGGGGGAAUCGAAAUGUAUAUAAGGGAGCGGCGACGUUUACGAGCGCUUUUACUAUUCCGACGCUCUUAGAGGUCGGAUGUUUAAAUGAAUACGGUUUGAGGAAAGGAAUCGUUUUCAAAUAUUAACAGAGUGGACACAAGUGCUAUUGUUAUACAGUAGAUUAAGACAAGAUUUCGAUACCGAAAUUGAAUUUCGACGAUAUAUCUUUACGAUAUCUUCCACGAAAUUUUUACACGUUUCCUCGUACCAUCAAGGAUCGUCAAUAAAUUCCGAACACAGAGAAAUUAAUUUAUUACAUCUCCGCAUUAUAAAAAAAAUUGGAACAAUUCCAAUACUACAGAUGUAACGUUGGAAAUUUUUAAAUUUCUGGAUAUCUGUAUUAAUCCAUAUAUAUGCAUCGAAAAAUUAUUAAAAUAAUCUUUGAAACACUAAAAACAAUCGAUUGAGAUAAAUUUUUUGAAAUUCGAUCGAAAAAGAGAAACGAAUACAAUCGAUCGAUAACUAUGAUAAUCUUACGUUCCAGCGCGAUUUCCGCUUCCAGCCAGCGAUUUCCGUCAUUCCAGCGUCACGUCGGUCGCCGCCUCGCGCUUUUGGGACGCGGAUUGACCCAGUUGUCUCCAGCACGAAUAUCCGAAUGCCGAACGAAACGCAGUGGCCGAUGCCGUUUCUUUGACGUUUCCCUGGCACCAAGCCGGUUUAAUUUAUCGCCCUUCCUUUUAUUCCAUUUUCCGUUCGUAGAACGAAAUUUUCGUUUCGCGACAUAUCGGAACGGCUCCGUGCUUUCGAAAUUUGAACAAACGAUUUCCCUUUUUUCUUCUUUGCAAUUUAUAUUCACGUUUUAAAAAUAUUACUCACGGAACAUCGUUGAAAGAAAGGUUGAAAAAUUUUCUUGUCGAAGAAUAUAUAUAAAUCGGUAGAAUAUUUAA